GAUGAAGAACGUAGCGAAAUGCGAUACGUAAUGUGAAUUGCAGAAUUCAGUGAAUCAUCGAAUCUUUGAACGCAUAUUGCGCUCUCUGGUAUUCCGGAGAGCAUGCUUGUUUGAGUAUCAGUAAACACCUCAACUCCCUUUUCUUUUUUGAAAUUGGAGCUGGACUUGAGUGAUCCCAACGCUUUCUUCCAAGAAAGUGGCGGGUUGCUUGAAAUGCAGGUGCAGCUGAACUUUUCUCUGAGCUAUAAGCAUAUCUAUUUAGUCUGCCUAAAAAACAGAUUAUUACCUUUGCUGCAGCUAACAUAAAGGAGACUAGUUCUUGUGCUGACUGAUGCAGGAUUCACAGAGACAGCUUCGGCUGACUUGUAAACUCGAUCUCAAAUCAAGUAAGACUACCCGCUGAACUUAAGCAUAUCAAUAAGCGGAGGA
rnacentral:misc_RNA from 1 species